rnacentral:rRNA from 1 species
ACGAACGCUGGCGGCGUGCCUAAUACAUGCCAGUCGCACGCAUUUUCUUUCACCGUAGCUUGCUACACCGAAAGAAAAUGGGUGGCUAACGGGUGAGUAACACGUGGGUAACCUGCCCAUCAGCGGAGGAUAACACUUGGAAACAGGUGCUAAUACCGCAUAAUUCCAUUUACCGCAUGGUAGAUGGGUGAAAGGCGCUUUUGCGUCACUGAUGGAUGGACCCGCGGUGCAUUAGCUAGUUGGUGGGGUAACGGCCUACCAAGGCUGCGAUGCAUAGCCGCACUGAGAGGGUGGUCAGCCAGACUGGGACUGAGACACGGCACAGAGUCAUACGGGAGGCAGCAGUAGGGAAUCUGGGGGAAUGGACGGAAGACUGACCGAGCAACGCCGCGUGAGUGAAGAAGGUUUUCGGAUCGUAAAACUCUGUUGUUAGAGAAGAACAAGGAUGAGAGUGGAAAGUUCAUCCCUUGACGGUAUCUAACCAGAAAGCAACGGCUAACUACGUG